AACGAACGCUGGCGGCGUGGAUAAGACAUGCAAGCCGAACGCUGAACACGGGGUAGCAAUAUUCCGUGUUCGGAGUGGCGCAAGGGUGCGUAACACGUGGGUAAUCUGCCGCGAAGACCGGGAUAACUUGCUGAAAGGCGAGCUAAUACCGGAUGUGGAAUUUGGGAGGCAUCUUUUGAAUUCUGAAGCUGGGGACUGUAACAGGCCUGGCACUUCGCGAUGAGCCCGCGGCCUAUCAGCUAGUUGGUGAGGUAAUGGCUCACCAAGGCUAAGACGGGUAGCUGGUCUGAGAGGACGACCAGCCUCACUGGAACUGAGAGACGGUCCAGACACCUACGGGUGGCAGCAGUCGAGAAUUUUUC
rnacentral:rRNA from 1 species